UACAGAGGUCUCAAGCGUUGUUCGGAUUCAUUGGGCGUAAAGGGUGCGUAGGCGGCGCGGUAAGUCGGGUGUGAAAUCUCCGGGCUUAACUCGGAACGGUCAGCUGAUACUGCUUUGCUAGAGUGCAGAAGGGGCAAUCGGAAUUCUUGGUGUAGCGGUGAAAUGCGUAGAUAUCAAGAGGAACACCUGAGGUGAAGACGGGUUGCUGGGCUGACACUGACGCUGAGGCGCGAAAGCUAGGGUAGCAAACGGG
rnacentral:rRNA from 1 species